rnacentral:rRNA from 1 species
AACGAACGCUGGCGGCAUGCCUAACACAUGCAAGUCGAACGAGACCUUCGGGUCUAGUGGCGCACGGGUGCGUAACGCGUGGGAACCUGCCCUUAGGUUCGGAAUAACUCCCCGAAAGGGGUGCUAAUACCGGAUAAUGUCUUCGGACCAAAGAUUUAUCGCCUUUGGAUGGGCCCGCGUUGGAUUAGCUAGUUGGUAGGGUAAAAGCCUACCAAGGCGACGAUCCAUAGCUGGUCUGAGAGGAUGAUCAGCCACACUGGGACUGAGACGCGGCCCAGACUCCUACGGGAGGCAGCAGUGGGGAAUGUUGGACAAUGGGCGAAAGCCUGAUCCAGCAAGGCCGCGUGAGUGAUGAAGGCCUGAGAGUUGUAAAGCUCUUUUACCCAGGAUGAUAAUGACAGUACCGGGAGAAUAAGCUCCGGCUAACUCCGUG